GGCGGGUUGCUGAAGUUCUCGGGAGCUCAGUGCCAGGCGCUUAGAAGAGUGCACACGAAGUGUCUGGUUCGGCAGCUGCCCACUCAGUGUCCGGUAUGUGUGGGCUGGUGAGGUGGCACACUCCUGUAAUGCCAGCUCCUCAGGAGGCUGAGGCAAGAGGAUUGCAAGUUUGAGGCUGGACUGGGCAAGUGCGUGAGAACCUAUCUCAAAAUAAUUUUUUUCAAAGUAAAAUUUUGAAAAGGGCUGGGAUGUAGCUUAGCACACCCUGGUUUCCAACCCCAGUACUUGGAGGUGGGGAAAGAGGUCAUGGGUAGGGAAAAAGCCAAACAUUCACCCAUUCGGCAAAUAUUUAUUGAGCGCCUACUAUGUCCUAGGCAGCUUUCCAGGGUAUACAAGGGAGACUCAGGCAGCCGAACUUCCUUCCUAGGAGGUGGGGGCGUCAACAAACACUGGUUUCAAGCCUGAGGAAGGAAAGCGAGGGGAUGCUUGCGAAGGCGACAGCGGGGGACCCUUUGUCAUGAAGAACCCCUUUAACAACCGCUGGUAUCAAAUGGGCAUCGUCUCCUGGGGUGAGGGCUGUGACCGGGACGGGAAAUACGGCUUCUACACACACGUGUUCCGCCUGAAGAAGUGGAUCCAGAAGGUCAUCGAGCGGUUCGGUGGGCCGGCUCCCACGGCGGUCUCACCGCGCCGACGCAGGCACCAACCCACGCAAUGAGUAUCUCUGUGGCUUCAAAGCACCGUGCCAAUAAAGUGACUGUCGGUGAGCCUCAGGCUCCAGUGCUGUGUGGCCCGAAGCAGGCUGUGUGCGGGACAGGACGGUGAGGGCGAGGGCGGGGGUGGGCUGCACGCAGGGUGGGUAAACUGAGGCUUGGAGAAGCGGCUGGACUGGUCACAGAGCUCAGAACUCCAGCGGUACCGAAGGAGGCGCGAGGCCUCUCUCUGGCUGCCCUGCUGUCGGCCUGGAGCAGCGGACGGACUCCGGGGAGGGACUUGGUGCGCCGAGUCCCGGGAGCCGUCAGGGCCUUCAGAUUCUGGCUCCAACCUUAGCAGAGGUAACCAUGGCCAAGUCACCUCACAUUUGCUCUUUAUUCACCUUUAGUUUUUUGUUUUUGGUACUGGGGAUCGAACUCUGGCGCGGUGCCACUGAGCUACAUCCCCAGCCUAGUUUUUGGCUGGUUUUUUUUUUGUACUGGGGAUCGAACUCAGGACCUAGCGCUUGCGCAUCAGAUGCCGGAACCACUGAGCUAAAUCUCCGGCCCAAAGUUUUUUUUUUUUUUUUUUUUGAGGGUACCAGGGACCGAACUCAGGACCUUGCACUUGCGAGGCACGUGGCAGCACCACUGAGCUAAAUCCCUGGCGAGGCUCCCUACUUAUCGCCCCUCUCCCAGUCGCAGCAGGCAACACAGCAACAUCAAAUCCUGGAAUUCUCCUGACACAGAGAUUUUCAGAUUGCAGCAAUUUUUUUUCCAGGACAUAGGCCCUUAGGGGUGGGUAAAUGGGUUUGGACAAAUUAAAAUGUCAGAUGUGGAGAUACACACCUGCAUACUAGGACUCUGGGAGGCUGAGGCAGGAUCCCAUCUUUUUUGUUUUUUGUACCGGCGAUCAAACUUGGGACUUUGCGCUUUCGAGGCAGGCGGCAGAACCACUGAGGUAAAUCCCUGGCCCAGGAUCCCAGCUUUGAGCCCAACCUGGGCAAUUUAAUGACUUAGCAAGACCCUCUCUCAGAAUAAAAAAUAAUAGGCUAGGGCUCAAUGCGAAGGCCUUAGGUUCAAUCACCAGCACCACACACACAAAACCCCCAAGAGAACAUAAAGUCACAGGGAUUUUUUCUUUUUGUGACAAGGUCUUGCUAUGUAGUUCAGGCUGGCCUCAAACUCAGAGCAGUCCUCCUGCCUCAGCCUCCUAGGCACUGGGAUUACAAGUGUGUGCCACCACGCCUGCCAAAGUAACAAGAUUUAAACCCCCAUGCCUAGCACAUUCAAGGUCAUGUUGGCAGCGGCCACUGAGAGGACCAGAGCCCGGCUCUGACCCGCGGGCGCCCUGGUGGGCCUGUGAGUGCAGUGCCAUGGCUCCAUCCCCACUGGGCGGUACCAGAGCCAGCAGCAGCCGGGAUGGUGAGGGUCACAGGGUGAUGGCGUGGCUUGAAGCUGGAUGUCUUGGAUGCCAUGCAGUUACCGUUUCCAGCUCAGGCUCCUCAGCUGCAGGGCGUGCUUUGGAGCAGGAAAGGACUAACAGGAGUCAGCUUUAACCCGUUUCCCUCUUCAGCACACAAGGGCACAGAAGGCAGGACUGGACUCAGCUCUGUCCUUGUUCCGUGGUUCUGGUUGAGUGGGGCCUGCUCGUGGUGACUCCCACACGGAGCCUUAAGCAGACGGGGAGGGAUCUGGAACAAGCCUUGGUGCCCAGGCCUGCUAGGAACCAGGCCCAGCGUCCCACAGACUGCAUCCCAUCCACAUCGCCAGCCCCGGUUUUCACUUAGCGGUCUAACUCCGUGCACAAGCUUGGGUCCUUCCACAGCAACAAACACCGCCUUCCUGGCCGGGACACUCACUGCACGGUGCCCUGUGAGAGGCGGCAGGCUCUGAGGCCGGGAUGGACACUGAGAGGAUGCCUGCCCGCUCUGCACCGUCCUCCUGGACACCGGCUGGGGAGGUGCUGUGUGGGUCACGCUUCCCCUGCGACUCCUGCGGCGUCAGAACCUCUUAGCCUGCAGUCCUGGCUGUGGAGCUCUCGGGAGGGAGGGCCUGCGGCUUUUACUCCAGAGGUGAAUCUUUGGUCCGCAGUCCUCACGCAGACCAAGAGCAAAGCGGCUCUUACUAGACCAAAAGAGACGGAGGGAACCAGGUGGGAAAAAUCUUCCUUCUCCGGACUCCAUCUGGGAAGGAGCCCCCACCUGCAGAUGUGCUGCGGGAACCACAGCCUGGCCGGCCAUGGGUGCUGUCUCAGGGCACUGGAGCUGCACGGUGGAAGGUCGUCUACAAGCUGCUUGCAGCCCUGGCUGCUGAAUGGAAGACGGCACCAGAAGCUCUGACGGUGUGUGGGAGGGGUUCUCUGCUCCCCCAGAGCUCAGUGGGAAGCAGGAGAGGUGAGUCCCUUCCUUUCCAAGGGCGUCACAGAUGCCCGUUCUUGAACUGGCUGUGUCCCGGUCCCCAGUCAGGUGACAGAGUGGCCCAGUACUCCAGGAUACGGAGCACCCUGGGAGACAGGUAUAGUUAAUGCAAACUUUAUUUAUAAAAGACUCUUAAAUUAGUGGUCUCAUGCCAUGCAUUCAUACAGAAUUCAGUGACCCUUCAGGGGUACAGGGAGAAGAGAUCACAAACUCAAAGGAAAACUAUUAAAGAGUUCUAACAGUUAAGAGCUAGGAAAGAUUAGGACAAUUUUACAAAUGAGCAGUCGAAAAGAAAAGAACAGAAAAAGACCAUGGAAACUAGUGUGCGCUGAGGGGCAGCUGUUUACAAGUCUGUACACUAACUAAUCCACAGACGGCUGUGGGGCGCGGGGACCUGGGGACGGACACGCCACUGCCACUGCCUCCGCUGGUGCCGUACCACAGCCACUUUGUGCAUACCCAGCCUGCGCGGCCGCUCCACACUAUGAGGGCUUCUAGUUUAGUAAACUAAAGCUGCAGGGGGCCUGGACAACAGCUUCAUUUGCGACUGCUCUUUAUUCUCUCCAGUCUUUUUUUCAAGUCGUCAAUGUUGGUUGUGGAGGAGGAGGAGGAGGAGGUCAUGGUGCCCGCCGAGUGGGUCUGGUUGGAAUCCAGCUCCGAGUGCUGGUGCUGCUCACGCGACUCCCGCAGCUGGAACAGCUUGCUGUGCAGCAUGUCUGUGGAGGAGGCCACCGGGGGGCACCGUGGGCUUGGAGAGCAAAGAGGUCAGCGGAGGCCGGUCGUCUUGCUGUGGAGAGAAGAGGGGACAUUGUCUCAGCCCAGGGGAACAGGUCAAGGGCCGGCUGCUGCCCUGGGCUGGCCUGCACGGCCCCGUGGGAGGGGGAGCAGUACCUUGGUGUUGUCCAGCCCGCAUCUCUGCCGGAGGAUUUUUAGCCUUUCCAGGUAGACAGACGGUCCCACCUCUUCGCCAUUUGUGUUACCUAUGGAGGACAUUGUGCUUGUAGGGGCGGGCACACAGGUGACCUCCAUCUGAGGCGAGAUGCCUAGGGAGGAAAAUGUAUAGAGAAUGUUCACAGACUCACUCACCUCCAGACUGCCUGGCCAUCUGUCACUGAAAAGAACAAUUAACAACUUAGGGGCUGUUAACUGAGCUGGGGAGGUAGUUCAGUGGUAGAGCACUUGCCUAGUAUGUGCAAAGCCACAAAUUCAAUCACACACAUACACACACACACACACACGCGCGCGCACACACCAGCACAUGCCUGCAAUCCCAGCUACUUGGGAGACUGAGGCAGGAAGAUCACAAUUUGAGGCCAGCUAGCCUGAGCCAAACUUAGUAAGAACCUGCAAAAAAAAGUGCUGGGUGUAGUGGUGCACACCAUAACACCUUCUCUGGGAGGGC
rnacentral:lncRNA from 1 species